rnacentral:rRNA from 1 species
AAGUCGUAACAAGGUUUCCGUAGGUGAACCUGCGGAAGGAUCAUUAACGAUAUACAAAUCGCGGCCAGCCUGCAAAGGAGGGCCGCGGCGGUUGCGGAAACGGCCCCCAACGUCUCGCUGGGCGGUACGGCUCCGCAUGCCUGCAUCCUUUUUCUACGAGCACCUUUCGUUCUCCUUCGGCGGGGUAACCUGCCGUUGGAUUCAAACAAAACCUUUGCAUCUAGAAUUACCCGUUCUGACAAAAAACAAUCGUUUACAACUUUCAACAAUGGAUCUCUUGGCUCUGGCAUCGAUGAAGAACGCAGCGAAAUGCGAUAAGUAGUGUGAAUUGCAGAAUUCAGUGAAUCAUCGAAUCUUUGAACGCACAUUGCGCCCCUUGGUAUUCCAUGGGGCAUGCCUGUUCGAGCGUCAUCUACACCCUCAAGCUCUGCUUGGUGUUGGGCGUCUGUCCCGCCUCUGCGCGCGGACUCGCCCCAAAUACAUUGGCAGCGGUCCUUGCCAGCCUCUCGCGCAGCACAUUGCGUUUCUCGAGGUCUGGCGGCCCGCAUCCACGAAGCACGUCUUCAGCUCUUUUGACCUCGGAUCAGGUAGGGAUACCCGCUGAACUUAA